UGAUUGAUGAUGGAACAUCAAUCUCACCGGCCGGAGGCAGAACCCUCCCAUCGGCGAACAAAACCCGUCCAUUUACUCCAUCCCUAGGCGGCGCCACCAUCACGCCUUCAAGCUCCGCCGCAGCAUCACCGUAUAAAGCUCCAUCUCCAAACCUCCGUUCAACUUCCAGAAACUCUCCAAGGGACGCCGGCUUUGCCUCGCCAUCACUACAAAGCCUCCACCAUCUUCGCCGCCGCAGUAGUUCCACCGGAGCUCUUUUAUUCUUCUUUUUCUUGUUGUUGCGAUUCGCCCCAGUGGACGAAGACACGACGGAACCAGCACCGGCACCGGCGACGGGAAUCGAGUUUGUAUCACGUGGCUGAGAGGGUGCUCUGAAAGCAAUGGCAGUGGAAGUGACGCCCAUGAGAGUGCCUAAUGUGGUGCUUCUAUCGUGGAAGAAAGAACCUGUGGACUCAGUGUCGAGAUCGGAGGAGGAGACGGAGGAGCUAGUCGGAGAAGACGGUGGCGGAAGCAUGUCAUUGGUUGGAUCUGACAUCUCUCGCGCGGUGGCUGUGGAGAAGUGUCGGGUAGUGAGAAGGAAGCUUAAAUUUUUGUAAGUAUUGGGCAAGGAAUAGGAUCAAAGAGCUGCCAGACUUGACAUUU
rnacentral:misc_RNA from 1 species